CAUAACUGAAGUCGAUGUUUCCUGCAGCAAAACUCACCCCCAUAAGCUUAUUCAAGAAGUGCGGAAUCAAAUAAAAAAUUAAAAAUCACCCC